rnacentral:rRNA from 1 species
UGGGGAAUUUUGCACAAUGGGGGAAACCCUGAUGCAGCGACGCCGCGUGAUUUAGAAGGCCUUCGGGUUGUAAAAAUCUUUUCUAUGGGAAGAAAAUGACAGUACCAUAGGAAUAAGGACCGGCUAAUUACGUGCCAGCAGCCGCGGUAAUACGUAAGGUCCGAGCGUUGUCCGGAAUCAUUGGGCGUAAAGGGUACGUAGGCGGGUAAGCAAGUUAGAAGUGAAAUCCUAUAGCUCAACUAUAGUAAGCUUUUAAAACUGCUCAUCUUGAGGUAUGGAAGGGAAAGUGGAAUUCCUAGUGUAGCGUUGAAAUGCGCAGAUAUUAGGAGGAAUACCGGUGGCGUAUGCGACUUUCUGGCCAUAACCUGACACUAAGGUACGAAAGCGUGGGUAGCGAACAGG